rnacentral:rRNA from 1 species
GACGAAGGUGGCAAGCGUUGUUCGGAAUCACUGGGCUUAAAGGGCGCGUAGGCGGCUUGUCAAGUGUCUGGUGAAAGACCCCGGCUCAACCGGGGAAUGGCUGGGCAAACUGAUGAGCUUGAGGCAGGUAGGGGCGAGUGGAACUCUUGGUGGAGCGGUGGAAUGCGUAGAUAUCAAGAGGAACGCCGGAGGCGAAGGCGACUCGCUGGGCCUGUCCUGACGCUGAGGCGCGAAAGCCAGGGGAGCAAACGGGAUUAGAUACCCCGGUAGUCCUGGCCCUAAACUAUGUCCACUAGGCUGGAGGCACUCUGACGUGUUUUCGGCCGAAAUGAAAACGUUAAGUGGACCGCCUGGGGAGUACGGUCGCAAGGCUAAA